rnacentral:rRNA from 1 species
AGCGAACGCUGGCGGCAGGCUUAACACAUGCAAGUCGAACGGGCAUAGCAAUAUGUCUGUGGCAGACGGGUGAGUAACGCGUGGGCACGUACCUAUUGGUUCGGUACAACACAGGGAAACUUGUGCUAAUACCGGAUAAGCCCUUACGGGGAAAGAUUUAUCGCCGAAAGAUCGGCCCGCGUCUGAUUAGCUAGUUGGUAGGGUAAUGGCCUACCAAGGCGACGAUCAGUAGCUGGUCUGAGAGGAUGAUCAGCCACAUUGGGACUGAGACACGGCCCAAACUCCUACGGGAGGCAGCAGUGGGGAAUAUUGGACAAUGGGCGAAAGCCUGAUCCAGCCAUGCCGCGUGAGUGAUGAAGGCCCUAGGGUUGUAAAGCUCUUUUGUGCGGGAAGAUAAUGACGGUACCGCAAGAAUAAGCCCCGGCUAACUUCGUG